rnacentral:rRNA from 1 species
UACGAAGGGGGCUAGCGUUGCUCGGAAUCACUGGGCGUAAAGGGCGCGUAGGCGGAUCUUUAAGUCGGGGGUGAAAGCCUGAGGCUCAACCUCAGAAUUGCCUUCGAUACUGGAGAUCUUGAGACCGGAAGAGGUAAGUGGAACUGCGAGUGUAGAGGUGAAAUUCGUAGAUAUUCGCAAGAACACCAGUGGCGAAGGCGGCUCACUGGUCCGGUACUGACGCUGAGGUGCGAAAGCGUGGGGAGCAAACAGGG